CACGUCACUGGAUCGUGCGUAGAGUCUCUUAAAUGCGACGAUGGGUACACUAUGGACAAUGGUUUCUGUACACCCUGCACAACAGGCUUCUACGGACAGAGCUGCGCCAUGGACUGUCACUGCGACACGUGCCAUCAUGUCACUGGAUCGUGCGUAGGGUCUCUUCAAUGCCACGAUGGGUACUAUUUCGACAAUGGUUUCUGUACACCCUGUAACCCUGGUUUCUACGGACAACGCUGCUCUAGGGAGUGUCACUGUGACACGUGUCAUCGUGUCAAUGGAUCGUGC